UGUCAAAAUUUAUAACAAAAAAAACUUUCAACAACGGAUCUCUUGGCUCUCGCAUCGAUGAAGAACGCAGCGAAAUGCGAUAAGUAAUGUGAAUUGCAGAAUUCAGUGAAUCAUCGAAUCUUUGAACGCAUCUUGCGCUCUCUGGUAUUCCGGAGAGCAUGUCUGUUUGAGUGUCAUGAACUCUUCAACCCACCAGUUUCUAGUGAACUGUCGUGGUGCUUGGAUUUUGAGCGUCUGCUGCUUCUUGAAGUCAGCUCGUUCGUAAUACAUUAGCUUUCCUGAUCUCGAACUCGGAUUGACUCGGCGUAAUAGACUAUUCGCUGAGGACAGGCCUCGUGCUUGGCCGAGUCGGGGCAAUAGAAAAGCUUCCAACAUGUCUUUUUUAAGAUUAGACCUUAAAUCAGAUAGGACUACCCGCUGAACUUAAGCAUAUCAAUAAGCGGAGGAA
rnacentral:rRNA from 1 species